rnacentral:pre_miRNA from 1 species
UCGACAGAUUAUUGUAUUCGACUGUAUUCACGGCAUGAAAUAGGGGAUUACACUGGUGAAUCAAUUAACAUAAUAGACUUCU